rnacentral:rRNA from 1 species
UACGUAGGGUGCGAGCGUUGUCCGGAAUUAUUGGGCGUAAAGAGCUCGUAGGCGGUUUGUCGCGUCUGCCGUGAAAUCCUUCGGCUUAACCGAAGGCGUGCGGUGGGUACGGACAGACUAGAGUGUGGUAGGGGAGACUGGAAUUCCUGGUGUAGCGGUGGAGUGCGCAGAUAUCAGGAGGAACACCGGUGGCGAAGGCGGGUCUCUGGGCCACUACUGACGCUGAGGAGCGAAAGCAUGGGGAGCGAACAGGAUUAGAUACCCUGGUAGUCCCU